ACUCUACAUUCAGAACAUAAAAGCACUAGGUAUGUAAGUUUGAAAUAUGAUUUAAGGACAGUAUGGUGGUUUAACUAGUUCUCUAAUUUUUGAAAAAUCUUGCCAAACAAUAAGAUUUAUGUAUAUUUGUUUAAUAAUAACCUGUUUCAAAUCUGAGUUUUGAAAAUUUACAUUUCCCCAGUAUUGCAUUAUUGGGGUACUUAAGAUUAUUUUAGAGAAAAAUAUUUCUCAUUUGAUAUAAUUUUUCUCAGUUUCAUGUGUGUGAAAAAAGGAAAGUAUUUCCCAUAAAUGGGAACUUUGCCCACUGUCUCAAGAAAUAUAUAUUUCAGUGACAAUUCCGUGGUUUUAGAGAUAUAUUCCAAAAUUUCCUCAUAUUUUUAAGUUAUGCAACUAAUAAAAACUACCUUACAUUAAUUAGUUGCAGUUUUCUACACAUGGUAAUAUAGGAUAAGCUACUGAUUUAGGAAGUUUUAAAGUCCAUGGUAUUCUCUCGAUUCCAAUAAAGGUUGAUUUUCUCUUGUAUUUUUCUUAUUUAUUACGGGUUACAUUUUUUAUUUUUCAAAUUGGAUAAUAUCCUGGAAUUAUCUUUUAUGAUUUAGUAAACAGCAUUUUUUGUUGUUGUUUCAAACUGAAGUUUACUGAGAGAUCCAUCAAAUUGAACUGUCUGUUGAUAAUUUAAAAUUUUGGCCAUUCAUUUCAGAUUUUAAAUCAUUCUUGCUGAACUACUUGAAAUUGUCUUUUAAAAUUUUUCUUUUUGGAUGUGAAGGUGAACAUUCCUGAUUUUUGUCUGAUGUGGAAAAGUCCUGGUAUUUUACAUUUUGAAAAUUCACAGAAGGUUAAUAUAAAACAAAGUUUGCAUUCUACUCAGGAAAAAGCAUCUUCUUGUAUAUGUUUUAAAUGUAUCUUUGGCAUCAUAUACAGAAAGUUCUUAAUUAAUUUUACAGUCUGUAAUGCUUGAUGUUUCAAAAUCAUUAACUA
rnacentral:lncRNA from 1 species